rnacentral:rRNA from 1 species
AUGCUUCGGCGUGCGUUGCGCUGACGGAUGCUUUUAUUAGACCAAACCGCCACUCUCGUGUUGACUCUCAGAUAUCUUCUGAGGUCUUCGUGUGGACUCGUUAAAUGGUGACUCUGGAUAACCUUUAUGACAAGCGCACGUACUCCUCGUUGGGACGGCGCUGCCACUUUCGAGUGUCUGCCUUAUCAGCUAUCAACCGUUCGUUAUGUGCGCACGAUGGCUUUGACGGGUAACGGGGAAUCAGAGUUCGAUUCCGGAGAGGCAGCCUGAGAGACGGCUACCACGUCCAAGGACGGCAGCAGGCACGCAAAUUACCCAAUCCCAGCAUCUGGGGGAGGUAGUGACGAAAUCUAACGAUGCGGGCGCCCUUUCUGGGGCCCCGCAAUCGGAAUGGGCACUUUCUAAACAACCUGUUGAGAACCUACUGAAGGGCAAGUCUGGUGCCAGCAGCCGCGGUAAUUCCAGCUUCAGUAGCAUCUAUUAAAGUUGCUGCGGUUAAAAGGCUCGCAGUUGAAUGUCAGUAUCGGGCGCAGGUCAGGUGGACGAUGGGACGUGAGCGUUCUAUGGCGUUCUCGUUCGUGUGCGCGUCGUGCGGUGUGUUGUGUGCUUUUUUCAUAAACGCGCUUCGUGCCCGCGACGUCGUUUCGCGUCGAGGCGUCGUUCACAAGUCCCCGUCCGUAACAAGCCUCCUCGCUUGUGUACAUAACGGAUUUGGUAUACGGAGUGAUCGCGUUUGAGCUUCGGCGCCGCUUGUGUGUGUUUUGGGGUYUGCGUCGUUCGUGGUGACACGUUCGGCCAUUCCUCUUGCUCCCUCGCGGUCCGCCGUGGUUCGACGCUUUCGUUAAGCUCCAUCGGAUCUAUUGUCACCCUGAGUAAAUCAGAGUGCUCAAAGCAGUCGUAGGGGCCUUGUGCCCUUUGAACAGUCUCGACGGACUGACUUGGUUUUGCAUGGCAUGUCGAAAGACGACGUCUAGCGCUGGCUCAGAGUAAAAUGCCUUCGUCUCGCAAGAGGCGCUGGCAAGGUGGUACAAGCCAGCCUAGACGUAAUGAUUAACAGGGACAGUCGAGGGCAUUGGUAUUGCGAGGCGAGAGGUGAAAUUCUAUGACCCCCGCAAGACCCCCUGAAGCGAAAGCAUCUGCCAAGGAUGUUUUCAUUAAUCAUGAACGAAAGUUAGAGGAUCGAAGGCGAUCAGAUACCGCCCUAGUUCUAACCCUAAACGAUGCCAACCAUCAAUCCGCGCGUACCACCCUUUCUAACGGGCUCGGCGGGAAGCUCCUCACUCACGGGAAACCAUAGUCUCUGGGUUCCGGGGGGAAUCUGGUUGCAUGUCUGAGACUUAAAGGAAUUGACGGAGAGGCACCACCAGGCGUGGAGCCUGCGGCUUAAUUUGACUCAUCACGGGCCAUCUCACCAGGCCAGCACUCUAGAAUGAUUGACAGAUUGAGAGCUCUUUCUCGAUUUACUGGAUGGUGGUGCAUGCCCGUUCUUAAUUGGUGGAGUGAUCUGUCUGGUUAAUUCCGAUCACGAAC